UCCCCCCCUCUCACUCAAUCCCCUCCCCUCCCUCUCUCUCCCCUCUCUCACCUCCUUCUCUUCCCCCUUUCAUAUGUAAUUUAAUUCGUGCAGUUGUCGUAUUUUUUUUGCCGACUCAUUCGUCGUCACUGUCGCCGAGUUCUAUCUCCGGUCUAUCACCGCUUUAUCGCUCGAACGAGUCAGGUCAUUGAUCGUUCAGUUGCCGUACUUUAUUCUCAUUCAGGGUUUUUCUAUGCUUCCUUUCCAACGACCAUGAUACACACGUCCUUUGAUCGUACGGCUAUGGCUCAUUUACGUAUAAAGAUUUCGACAUUCAAAUAAAUGGUGUACUCUCUCCGAUUCUUAACUUAAAUGUUUAUAUGAUUAUUUUCUUAAUAUUUUCAAUAUUGUGUGUUUUUAAAAGUGUUGAUGUAAAUAUACAGAUUUUCUCAUUAAUAUUAUUUUCGGGGGUGUAUUCGAUUGAGAUUUUAAUUGAUUGUUUUUAGUCUAUGGAUUUUAAUGGAUUGUAUGGGAUUUUGAUUUUGUGCG
rnacentral:lncRNA from 1 species